AAAAAUGUGAAUUUUCGUGUCAAGUUUCGGGACGAAACUUCUUUUAAGAGGGGUAGAUUGUAAUCCCCCGUAAUUUUAUUAUAUUUUAAUUAUAUACUUUAACGUAUAUUUAGUAUAUUUAAAUGUAAAUUUACGAAUUUUAGAAAUGAAUAUGUAAUUGAAAUAUAAUUAUGUUAUUACAUUUUGAAUAUUUUAAAUGAUUUACGAAAUCAAAGGUAUUUUUGAAUUUUACGUUGAAACGGAUUCGAAUUUUGAAAUCACGUUCUAUUGGAAUUAGAAAGCAAAUCCCGAUUACUAUUCCUAGCCCAAUUGGGCAAAGCCCAAACCAACAAAACCCAUAUGACCAUACUCCUUUCUCUUUUCUAAUUCAUGUAAAACAAAAAAAAAAUAAAACCCUAUUCUCUUUCUCCUUCCUCAUUCACGUGAAAACCAAAAAAAAAAAAAAAAGGGAGAAAGCCCACACGCAACUCAGCUCUCCUUCCCUCCCGCUGCUCGCCGCCCAGCCGACCACCAUCAACGCAACCAGUGACUCAAGGCCGACCACCGCACGCGACCGUGCUCAGCCCUGCCGCGAGCCACCGCUGUCCGCCGGCCAGCCCCCCUUAAACUCUUGAAUUGGCGGAGAAUUCUCUUUAGGCGACUUUUGAAAGUGUUAAGGUGGCCUAUCAGUUUGUUUACACAAGGUACGUACAUACCUGUGUGCCUGGAAUGUGUGCUAAUUGUUGAAACCAUGUUGAAUCUUGUUGUUGAACUUGGUUAUGUUAAUAUUAUUGUGGAACUUGGUGAUGUUGAUAUUAUGGACGAACUGGGUUAUAUUGAAUGUGCAUGUUUAAUACUGUUGGACAAACUUAUUGAACUUAUUUUGCACUAUAAGAACUGUAACAUGUUAGUAUGGAUGUUUGAUACAAACAUGUUGGUUGGGAACACUAGAUUAUUCUAUA